GACGAACGCUGGCGGCGCUCCUAACACAUGCAAGUCGAACGAGCGAAAGAGAGCUUGCUUUCUUGAGCGAGUGGCGAACGGGUGAGUAACGCGUGAGGAACCUGCCUCAAAGAGGGGGACAACAGUUGGAAACGACUGCUAAUACCGCAUAAGCCCACGACCCGGCAUCGGGUUGAGGGAAAAGGAGCAAUCCGCUUUGAGAUGGCCUCGCGUCCGAUUAGCUGGUUGGUGAGGUAACGGCCCACCAAGGCGACGAUCGGUAGCCGGACUGAGAGGUUGAACGGCCACAUUGGGACUGAGACACGGCCCAGACUCCUACGGGAGGCAGCAGUGGGGAAUAUUGCACAAUGGGGGAAACCCUGAUGCAGCGACGCCGCGUGGAGGAAGAAGGUCUUCGGAUUGUAAACUCCUGUUGUUGAGGAAGAUAAUGACGGUACUCAACAAGGAAGUGACGGCUAACUACGUGCCAGCAGCCGCGGUAAAACGUAGGUCACAAGCGUUGUCCGGAAUUACUGGGUGUAAAGGGAGCGCAGGCGGGAAGACAAGUUGGAAGUGAAAUCUAUGGGCUCAACCCAUAAACUGCUUUCAAAACUGUUUUUCUUGAGUAGUGCAGAGGUAGGCGGAAUUCCCGGUGUAGCGGUGGAAUGCGUAGAUAUCGGGAGGAACACCAGUGGCGAAGGCGGCCUACUGGGCACCAACUGACGCUGAGGCUCGAAAGUGUGGGUAGCANACAGG
rnacentral:rRNA from 1 species